rnacentral:rRNA from 1 species
AACGCGAAGAACCUUACCUACCCUUGACAUGCCUCGAACCUCGCGGAGAUGUGAGGGUGCCCGAAAGGGAGCGAGGACACAGGUGCUGCAUGGCUGUCGUCAGCUCGUGUCGUGAGAUGUUGGGUUAAGUCCCGCAACGAGCGCAACCCUUGUCACUAGUUGCUACGAAAGGGCACUCUAGUGAGACUGCCGGUGACAAACCGGAGGAAGGUGGGGAUGACGUCAAGUCCUCAUGGCCCUUAUGGGUAGGGCUUCACACGUCAUACAAUGGCCGGUACAGAGGGCUGCCAACCCGCGAGGGGGAGCUAAUCCCAGAAAACCGGUCGUAGUCCGGAUUGCAGUCUGCAACUCGACUGCCUGAAGUCGGAAUCGCUAGUAAUCGCGGAUCACCAUGUCGCGGUGAAUACGUUCCCGGGUCUUGUACACACCG